GAAUUAAUAUUACUGUGUUCUCAACAUUGCCAUUUGUUUGCACAUUUUAGAGAUAAUAAUGGAUUUAUAAACAAUUCAUAAAUUUUUGGUUGCAUUAUAUUGUUUAUAAGAUACCUGUUUUCGCAAUUCAUUAAAUUGUUUAAAAACUACUUGACGUGUACAAAGUGUUUUUAAUACUCAAUCCUUCAACAAAUUUCUUUGGCUUGCGAGAAAAACCUGCUUGCAAAUUCGAAUACGAUAAUUUUUUCGCAAUGGCUUGGGUUCCAACUACUGACUUUGAAAAGGAAAUUGUUGAUUCCCAACCGGAUCUUGACUUUAUUUUUGGUCGACUUUCGGAGACAACUCAACAACCAUUUUAUCCACGUCCUAAAGAACAUUUGGAUUUUAUAGCAAAACAGAAAGAAUUGAAAAGCAAUAUCGAAAAGAAAUUACCAAGUACUCAAAAUCAUACAUUGAAUAUUAUUUCAAGAGUGCAGCGUAUUGCUGGCACUAAACCUCUGGGUGAACAGCCAACAAUCGAUGAUUGGAAUGAUAACGAGAACUUGGAGCGUGAAACCAUUGCGCUGAUGAGACAUGUUGGUUUAGGACCAAGUAUUGAACAUCCACUUGACGAAGCUUGUACAAUAGCAACACAUCCCAUUAAAGAAGAAAUUAAAAUUAAUCGUAAUGGUCGCAAACAAAUGCCAAUAUUUUUUGAUGAUAAAUUUUUUGAAUUAAAACCACGUGUUGCGAGUUCAGCAUCAUCGUCUGAUAAUAAUAGUCUAAUUUUGGAGACUGAGCCUGCAAUAAAUGAUGAUUCGAACAGUAUAUCGAUGAGGAGCAGUAGCAUUGCCAAAUCCAGCGAUUUAUUGCAGGAACAAUGCACUGAUAGUGGGAAUAGUGGUUUUGAAAGUGCUGUAGACUUUGCCAGAGAAGAACAAAGUUUCGAAACAGCUUACAAUAGUAGUAAUAAUCGAAGUAGAUCGUGUGGCAAUCGAGAAGAUAAUAAAAAGAAAAAUAUACAAAAUUGGCGCAGCGAUAGCAACGAUAGCAACGAUUUUAUUGAAACGCAAUCAUGGAGAAAUAGUUCAAAAGCACACAAAAGAAGUGAGAUGUUUAAGCUAACUGACAAUAGUGAUUAUAAUUGGCGUUCAAAUGCUUCAAAUGCUGCGUAUUUUGAAGGUAAUACUCCUGCAAACAUACCACAGAUGUGUACUCCCAAAGAAUUGUAUCAGCGGAAGCGUCAAACGUGAUAAAUAUAGUCAUUUAUUAAGGAGAAUACGUGUGCAAAUAUCUGAAAUGUUUUUAAACUGUUUUCAUCUACUUUUACAGUGGCGAGUUAAUCUCAAGUUACAUUUUUACGUAGUCAUUCAGCAGUUAACCUAAUUCAAAACGAAAUGACAUCGUUGCGUUUGUUGAGAGUCUCCGAUUAGUAUAAAAGGCGGUUAACUUUGAAAUAUAACUCAAUGAUGUCUUAUUAAAACUUAAGUAAACCACUACAACAAUUAAGAUGACAUUAAAACGUUAAGAAAUAUAAUCGAAAAGGAAAAAAUUAAAAUUGUUGAAAUCCAGAAGACAAUUUAUUCUUUAGAAACUUUGAUGAACGCCAUGAGUUGUUAAUUUCAUUUCCAGUCAUUAGACAUAUUGGUUACCUUCAUUUAAACGUACGAAUGACUAAUAAACCUGUUAUAAUUAUCACUUGAUAAAUAAAUAUAAUAUUUGUAUGGAAAAACUGCUGGAAAUUCAUCAAAUAUACGCAGCUUAUCGCCCUUAUUAUAUUAAUUCGAAGCCAACUCAUGGACAUUGAUCUUCAGGUUGACUUGCCGCUGUGAAAUUUAAAAUCAAUAGUUAACUCAUUGUUCUCACUUUAAAAAUGAUCCUUUUAAGUAAGCAGUAGUUAGGUGUAUACAUAUAUGUUGAUUUUUUUUUUAUUUAUAAUAUUACUUUGUUGCCGAAUUCUAAUUGAGCGGCAAUAAUAAUGAAAGCAUGACUAAAAAAUAUUGAAGAGUAAAAUUAGAUAUUAGUCAGGGUUAACGUAAAAUGAUUGCGUUCAGAUUGCAUAUUAUUGCUCCGAACGUAGAAUAGAAAAAUCUACGAAAUGAUGACAAAAUAAGGUGAUAAGAAUAAAGCCAGCGCCUUAACGCAUAUCGCUUAAAAAGGUAGCAGUAAUCUUCUCCAAGAAUAAAUGAACGAAGAGAUUGUAGCAAUCACUCACAAAAUUCGAAACACAAUAACGAAACUACAUAAAAAUAGAGGUUUUUUUUUUUUGAAAUUUAAUAUGAGUGUACAGUUUGUAUGUGUUACGUAUUUUGAAAUUAUAACAUACAUUGAGCCUUGGGUCUUAUCUACGCUACUAUGUAUAUCAGGAACUUAAAGUGAAAAGUAAGAAGGAUAGAAAUUCAUCUUAAAGGUAAUAAGACUUCAACUUUUCCUUCAUUAACCUGCAGCACUUUUUUUUUACAAGUAAUUUAUAGUACAAAUUAAUGAAGAAAUUAUGUUAUGGAAACUUCAAAGUUAAGUCAUGUUAUAUAUGUAUAUAUGUAGAUAAAAUUAUCAAAAUUAUAAGCUAAUAAGAAAUUGGCGAGAUUGUGAAUGUAAUGAAGAAAGAAAAAACUUAUACUCUGCAUCAAAACUUUUUACAAAACUUUA